AACAAAAUCAAAAAGAAAACAAACGACAAACAAACGAGUGCACCGGUCUGCUCCCCUACCUUAACCUAACUUUGUGACGGAAAAAUAUGUUUUUCGAACCGAAAGGCUAGCUAGAAUUCAGUUUUACCUUUACAUAGGGUUUGUUGUAGUACACUUUUUGUUUAAAGAAGAAACGCGUGUCGAAUCACGAUAUCCUCAGUGUUUUGUUUAGUGGCUGGGGGGGGCAUUACGGUUUAUAUCCAUUUUAGUUUCCAUGGUCAAGAGGUCUUGAAAAUGAGUAAAUAUUCUACCGAAUCGGAUUCAAGUGAUGGACACAGCAGAAAAAAGGGAAAGUCAAGUAGGAGGGGAAGAUCUCCAAGCUCAUCUAGUUCAGAGUCAGGCAGCCGACACCGUAGAAGAACGCACAAAUCUGGUCACAGUAGAAGAAGAUCUCACAGUUCUGAUGUGAGCCAUAAAUCAAGUCGAAGAGAUAGGGAUAGGUCUUCAGAUCGCUCUCAUGAAAAGUCAAAGAGCCGCUAUUCACGUAGAUCAAGAUCAUCAUCAAGGAGUCGCAGAAGAAGAUCUCGUUCAAGAUCGCAAUCUAAAAGUCAUUCUAGAAGGAGGUCAUCAUCUCACAGUCCAUCUCGAUCUUACAAGAAAACACACUCUAGAAGGUCUCGCUCACGUUCAAAGGGUCACUCUAGGAGAAGAUCAUCAUCCGGUUCAAGCGCUGAGUCUAAAGAACAGACUCUGAAAGGACGUCAGCCAGAUGUAGUUAAUCUUCCUGUUCGAUCACAAGGUUCACCAUCUUCACGUUCCCAACCUACUCAGGAAGCACCCUCAGCCUCCCAAUCAGCACCUGAAGAAGCUCUUACAGAGAGACUACAAAAGGCAAUUUGGGCUGCUAAAACUGCAGACCAGCAGCUUCGUAACCAGGGACUUAUUGGCGCCAGGAAAGAGGUUGAUCCAACUUUUAUGGUUCUUGAAGCUAUAAAUAGAAGUAACUUAUUAGAUGAAAUAAACUCUGAUGGUUUUUCCCCUCGCCAAUUUACGUCUGGUGCAAAACGAGAUGAGUAUCCUAUAGUUGUCGAUCUUGCAAGUCAACCAGCGGUGCCCCCUCCAGCUCAAGUGAAGCAGGAUCCUAAAGCCAUUUUUCACUCAAGUGUAUGUGUUUUGAAAGCUUUUAGUGGAUGAACCUCAACGCCUUGAACGAUGGAUAAAAAAGCUUUAUAGCAUCCGUCAAAGAGCAAUUAAUGGAGAGCCUUUCACCUUCUCAUGAUGACAACCAACUACAUGCUGUCUUAUUGAAAAUAAGAAUUGAGAACGAGCCAAAAACAACGGGUUCUUCGGCAUUCCGCUUGAAAACUAGAAAGAAAUAGACAACUGCUUAAGGAUACUUUGGAAAUGAAGGCAAGAAACUUAACUAAGCAAUCAUCACUUACUUGCUCCAAGGUUUGCCCUCACAAGUGAAUAGAUUUUCAUUCCUGAACAUUCUCGAGCAAUGUUUUCACCAACAGUGCUCAUGUCAGUCAGUGGUGGGAAUGCUACGCGCAUUGUCUUUACAAUAACUUUAACAUCUGAUCCACGGCUAGCCAUUUUGCGAGCUAGGUCAAUGACAAAACUUGGCAAAAAGACAACAGCAUCACGAUCGAGUGGAAUCACAAAGCAUCGUCGACCAUCCACAUCAACAAUGCCUGUUUUGUUCUGCAAAUAUUAAUAUGUAUAAAAGCUUAACAUCUCAAUCUUACUAUCAGAUAAAAAGUGAUAGAUGUGAUUGAUUGGACUUGAAACUUACAAUAUGCCAGUCAUGAAUAAAUUGACCAGGACGUCCACCAUUAAA